CAUUGUUGCAGGAAUGUGAGCAAGGCGACUCGGCAGCACAUUCAUCCUCAUCUAAGCAUUCAGAUACAGUUUAUAAAGGUAGGAGUAGGGAGGCUGUGAUCUGGAAGUCCAGACUGAGAGUGAACAUGCUGUAGAUGCCAUCCAUCUGGGACACCUUGAUGAGCUGCAGCAGUGGCCCCUGACGCUCCUCUCGGCCCUCGUAGAUGAUGGAGUGGUUACAGCGCAGCACCAUGGGACCGUCUGCUCUCUGGUGGGCCUGGGACGACCAUGAGUACAGCUGCCCUGGUCCCGUUUGCACGCCCUGGGUCAGGGAGUAGCCGUUCCUGGCUGCUCCAGUCUGCAGCACUGUGGUCCAGUAGAUGGGAGCAAACACAGACACCAACACCCGUAGCAAUGGACCUGCAAAACAUCAGUAGUUAGACCACAGCCUCUAUGGAAAUACCUCUGAGCAAAGUGUGAUAGGUCAAGAUACAGCAAUGAUCAGUGGCUGAGUGAUCUAUGUGCUUGAUUAUGGGAAAUAACUUUACAGCAAGUGCUUGAUUAUUGCAUUUAGAUGUGCUUCUGAGAGGCUCCUACUGGUUACUGUAAGACAUCUCUCACACUCCCAUACUCACCCACACUAGGAGGGAUGUUGUCCAGGUGGGCCUGCAGGGUGCUGGUGCCCUCUUCUGGGUUAUCUGUGAUGUUAGCCUCCAGGAACGACACCCCAAACUCCCUAUCAUUCACCACCCCUAUCAGACUCCCCCUGGCCUUACGAGGGGCCUCCCCUUCAGUCAACAGAG
ensembl:lncRNA